rnacentral:rRNA from 1 species
ACGCUGGCGGCGUACCUAACGCAUGCAAGUCGAACGGACCUUGAAAGCAAUUUUGAGGUUAGUGGCAAACGGGUGAGUAACACGUAGGGAUCUGCCUUGAAGUGGGGAAUAACGGACCGAAAGGUUCGCUAAUACCGCAUGAGCUUGCGAAAGCAAAGGCUUUGCAAGAAGUCGCUUGAAGAGGACCCUGCGUUCGAUCAGGUAGUUGGUGAGGUAACGGCUCACCAAGCCGAUGACCGAUAGCUGAUCUGAGAGGAUGACCAGCCACACUGGGACUGUGAGACGGCCCAGACUCCUACGGGAGGCAGCAGCGAGGAAUAUUGCACAAUGGAGGCAACUCUGAUGCAGUAACGCCGCGUGAGGGACGAAGACCUUCGGGUUGUAAACCUCUUUUUGUAGAGACGAGUGAGGACGGUAUCUAUAGAAUCAGUCUCGGCUAACUACGUGCCAGCAGCCGCGGUAAGACGUAGGAGGCGAGCGUUAUCCGGAUUUACUGGGCGUAAAGCGCAUGUAGGCGGCUCGUCAAGUCGUGUGUUAAAGCCCCUGGCUCAACUGGGGGAGGUCAUGCGAGACUGACGGACUUGAGGACCGUAGAGGCACGUGGAACUCCCGGUGUAGCGGUGGAAUGCGUAGAGAUCGGGAAGAACACCUGUGGCGAAGGCGACGUGCUGGGCGGUAACUGACGCUGAGAUGCGAAAGUGUGGGGAGCAAACGGGAUUAGAUACCCCGGUAGUCCACACUGUAAACGAUGAACCCUAGGUGUGGGGGUGCAUAACCUCCGUGCCGAAGCCAACGCGUUAAGGGUUCCGCCUGGGGACUAUGAGCGCAAGCUUUAAACUCAAAU